rnacentral:rRNA from 1 species
UAAUACGUAGGGUGCAAGCGUUAAUCGGAAUUACUGGGCGUAAAGCGUGCGCAGGCGGUUCGGAAAGAAAGAUGUGAAAUCCCAGGGCUUAACCUUGGAACUGCAUUUUUAACUACCGGGCUAGAGUGUGUCAGAGGGGGGUGGAAUUCCACGUGUAGCAGUGAAAUGCGUAGAUAUGUGGAGGAACACCGAUGGCGAAGGCAGCCCCCUGGGAUAACACUGACGCUCAUGCACGAAAGCGUGGGGAGCAAACAGGAUUAGAUACCCUGGUAGUCCACGCCCUAAACGAUGUCAACUAGCUGUUGGGGCCUUCGGGCCUUGGUAGCGCAGCUAACGCGUGAAGUUGACCGCCUGGGGAGUACGGUCGCAAGAUUA